rnacentral:lncRNA from 1 species
CAGCACAGCAGUCAGGGCAGAAGCAGCCUGAUGGGAUCCAGAGGCUUCCCGCGAGCGGGAUCAGCCCUGAGACAGGACAGCGCCCAGCACAAGUGAUCCUGCGGGAUUUGCAGGAAGCCCAUGGCAUGCCCAGUAGAGACACGUGGGGUGAGUUUCCUGCUUUCUGUGGAGGGGAAGAGUGGGAGGAAGUCUUGGCUGAGGCGGACAGGGAGAGGAGGAACCCGGCAGCCAACCCACCUUCUGCACCAGGAGGUGCUCUUGUACGUAGGCGGCCACCGCAUCCCAGACGGCAACUCGCUCUGGAGGGCAAAGGAAAAGCGGGUCACACUCUGCACCUGCCGCUUCCCAGCAGCCCUCCCGCUGCCAGGCGGGAGUGAG